rnacentral:rRNA from 1 species
AACGAACGCUGGCGGCAUGCCUAACACAUGCAAGUCGAACGAGACCUUCGGGUCUAGUGGCGCACGGGUGCGUAACGCGUGGGAACCUGCCCUUAGGUUCGGAAUAAGUCCCCGAAAGGGGUGCUAAUACCGGAUAAUGUCUUCGGACCAAAGAUUUAUCGCCUUUGGAUGGGCCCGCGUUGGAUUAGCUAGUUGGUAGGGUAAAAGCCUACCAAGGCGACGAUCCAUAGCUGGUCUGAGAGGAUGAUCAGCCACACUGGGACUGAGACACGGCCCAGACUCCUACGGGAGGCAGCAGUGGGGAAUAUUGGACAAUGGGCGAAAGCCUGAUCCAGCAAUGCCGCGUGAGUGAUGAAGGCCUUAGGGUUGUAAAGCUCUUUUACCCGGGAUGAUAAUGACAGUACCGGGAGAAUAAGCUCCGGCUAACUCCGUG